GAUUACAUCAAAAUGCAACGGAAAUGAAAAGACAUAGAAAACUGUCUAAUACCCUGAGGGACUCGAGAGCGGAGCAUUUUAGAAAGAAACCCCUCAUGUGAGCGCACCAGAUUGUGGACAACGAGACCUCAGAUGAGUUAUUAAGAGUAAAAUAUUCCUGCAGAGCGGUGCGGAAUAGCGGGUGGAAGUGAAAAAUAUGAGGGAAGCGCCUAUUUUGAAUCCUGAAACUAUCUUUAGGCAAUCAAUGAGUUUCCUGGGCACCUAUAAUGUCACAAUGUCAAAGCGUGCUCCUAUCAGGCUGUAUAUGAACUCAUGUCAUCAAUCUGCUCCAAACCCAUCAGCACGUUGACACCGUGACCCCCAAUCCCCUGACCGCGUCCCCUCCGAGCAGAUUGCGUUAUGGUGCUUGUUUUGCUGGUCCUCCAUGUCCUCCGUCCUUGUCCUCUUCCGACAUGGAGACACCAGCCUUUCCCACCACGUCUGACCAGAGACUCUCUGUCUGUGGCGAUCUGGGGGUCUGCGCUGGACCCGCAGGACAAGCUCCAGUCUCAGCGCAGGGGGGUUAGAGGGACAAGAAAACAGGAAAGUGUUGGACGAUAAGGAGGAGAAGAAGCUUAGAGGAACAAUGAGGAAGUGCGGCUGGAAAUCCUGGAUUGUGCCGCUCAGAUAGGAGAAAGUGCCGGGCCGGCGGCUUCCAGGAAAAGAGGGUCACGGGAGGAAGUGAUAAGAGGCUAUGGAACUUCAUGAGCGAGCCCCCCUGUCUAUCACAGGCCCGCAGGGGUGACAUGACUGCGGGGAGGAACUUAUCCAGCUUUCCCAGACUCCUGAAGGGCAAAUAAGCAUCAAUACAGAGACAUUGGCAGGAUAACAGGGCACAUCACAAUCAGGGCUCUGGAAAAGCUGGGUGACAAAUGUUAUGGAAGCAACUGAACAGCGUUUAUACCUGGGGUUAGUCUGAAACCUAGCUAUCCAGCUUUCCCAGACUCCUGAAGGACAAAUAUGUAACAUACAGAGACAUGGGCAUGGUAGCAGCGCAC